rnacentral:tRNA from 1 species
GGAGGGAUGGCAGAGCGGUCGAAUGCGGCGGUCUUGAAAACCGUUGUGGGUGUGAGCCCACCAGGGGUUCGAAUCCCUUUCCCUCCGCCA